CGCGAUUUCUUCAUAAUACGCAAGGCAACGCUUGUAAGGACACAUUCAUCGAUUAUUCUCAACAGCCGCCGCCGCUGCAGUCACCGGAAACCUAGCCCUAAACCAAUAAUUUUCCUUUUUCCGCUUUGAGAAACUUAAUUCACAAUGCUUGGUUCUCCAGGUCACUCACCACGCCACCUCUCAUCCCCAUCUUCAUCUGCGUCUCCAAAUCCCCAAAAUGCUAUCCAAGUCUCUAACUCAUCCUCAAUCAGAACACCUGUAAACCCUAAGAAGCGCCCUAUAGUUCUGGACGAGGACACCUAUGUUGCAGCGAUCGAGAAAAUCAUCGAACGCGACUUCUUCCCGGACAUCUCGAAACUCCGUGACCGGCUUGAUUGGCUUGAAGCGGUAAAAACUGGCGACCCUAUUCAAAUACGAGAUGCCCAGUUGAAGAUCAUCGAGCGCCGUGGCAAAAGAGUGAAGAGUUCCAACCCUGAUUGGAGUACUCAGACUAGAAAUAGCACACAAACCCCAGGUUCUAUACCUAAUUUCACUCCCUUUGAUGAAUUCGAUAACAAAACGCCUAGUGCUGCAAAUAGGGAAUUUUCUGCUAAUAGAGAGUCUAGUGAACAUGAAGGUGCCGUUGAUGAUUCACUGAGUUUAGACGAUUUCUUUAGGAGAUACACAAGUGAGGAUAAUGAUAGUUUUUCAAAAAUAUUGGAGAAAGUGAAUAGGAAAAGAAAGGAGAGAUAUGGGCACUUGUUAGAAGGUGAAAAACAGGAUGCUAAAUUGAUUGAGGAUUCGAAGAGGGAUAGGAUUACAGAUGGUUAUGGGACAUCUGAUCAACCUCCGAGCACAUUGGAGGGUUGGAAAUACACAGCCAGGAAUUUGUUGAUGUAUCACCCCUCAGACAGGGGUGAGGCUCCUUUGACUGAAGAGGAACGUUCUGUUAGAUUGAAGGGUUUAACAAAAGAACUAAAUAGGUCAAACACACGGUUUCAUGGUAAAAUGUUGGAUUCUAGACCAAAAGAUGAUGGAACUGUUGAAGUGCUUUAUACACCAGUUGUGGGGGCCACCCCUCUUCCUGCAUCGGACAGAGAUGGGGAUAAAGCAAAGAAGUAUGAUUUGGAGGAUUUGAGGAAGACACCAAACAGGUUUUACGUGGAAUCAGGGAAGAAGGCAGAAAAUGGAUAUAGUUUUGUUAGGACACCUUCACCAGCUCCGGGGGUUGAUGAAUCACCAUUUAUCACAUGGGGUGAGAUAGAAGGAACGCCAUUGAGGUUGGAACCUGAAGACACUCCAAUUGAUAUUGGUGGUAGCGGUGAUGGGUCGCAUUUUAAAAUUCCAAAUCCACCUGCACGAGAUGUGAAGGCACAUUCAUUGUCGAGGGAGGCUGCCCGAAAGUUGAGGGAGAGAUCAAAGAUGUUUCAAAAACCACCAUUACCUUCUCCAGGAAGAGGGGGAAGUGCAAGUCCAAUUGUGCGUACACUUUCUCCUGCUGCACAGAAGUUUAUGAGGAGUGCAAUUUCUAAGUCUUCAUCUUCUGUUGAUGAAUCCCUUCGUGCUAGUUACAGAGGAGCAAGCCCUGGGGUUGGUACUCCAAAGAGUAGGAGCGUAUCGAGGCUUGGAAGAGAUGGAAGCAUGAGUUCCAGGUCACCAUCUGUCAGAGAGGAUUCUAAUCCUCCUUGGUAAAAAUGUAUUUUUCAUGCAUGUGGAGUUUCACAUUGGCAAGUAGUGGUUUUGUAAUAGUAUAAUUAAUAAUCAACUAAGCUUUUUGUUUCAAGGAUUCAUGUAUAAUUUAGCUGUGAUCCUUGUCCACUGUUUUAUAUGGUUACUAAUAUUUCAAAUGAGUACCCAAGUAAUGGUUAUAA
rnacentral:misc_RNA from 1 species